rnacentral:rRNA from 1 species
AUAUCAAUAAGCGGAGGAAAAGAAACUAACAAGGAUUCCCCUAGUAACUGCGAGUGAAGCGGGAAAAGCUCAAAUUUGAAAUCUGGCAGUCUUUGACUUGUCCGAGUUGUAAUCUAGAGAAGUGUUACCUGUGCUGGACCGUGUAAAAGUCUCCUGGAAUGGAGCAUCAUAGAGGGUGAGAAUCCCGUCUUUGACAUGGACUGGUACCCAGCUUACGG